CACACAUGUCCAUAGACAGCAUAUGCACGUGUGUGUCAAUACCGCCCGCCGUCACAAUGAGGCCUUCGCCUGCAAUGACCUCGGUGCACGAGCCCACAAUCAUGUUCUGAGUCACGUACACCAUCGUGUCGGGAUUGCCGGCGGUGCCGAUACCCGCAAUAUGGCCAUCCUUGAUGCCGAUGUCGGCCUUAAUGAUACCCGUAUAGUCCACAAUGAGCGCGUUCGUGAUGACCGUAUCGAGCACAUCAGUGGCUCGCCGUCCUGACGUCUGCCCCAUACCAUCGCGGAG